UACGGAAGGCAGCAGUGGGGAAUAUUGCACAAUGGGCGCAAGCCUGAUGCAGCCAUGCCGCGUGUAUGAAGAAGGCCUUCGGGUUGUAAAGUACUUUCAGUCGUGAGGAAGGUGUUAGGGUUAAUAACCUUAGCAAUUGACGUUAGCGACAGAAGAAGCACCGGCUAACUCCGUGCCAGCAGCCGCGGUAAUACGGAGGGUGCGAGCGUUAAUCGGAAUUACUGGGCGUAAAGGGCACGCAGGCGGUUAAUUAAGUUGGAUGUGAAAUCCCCGGGCUUAACCUGGGAAUGGCAUUCAAGACUGGUUAGCUAGAGUCUUGGUAGAGGGGGUAGAAUUCCAUGUGUAGCGGUGAAAUGCGUAGAGAUGUGGAGGAUACCGGUGGCGAAGGCGGCCCCUGGGACAAAGACUGACGCUCAUGUGCGAAAGCGUGGGGAGCGAAACAGGAUUAGAUACC
rnacentral:rRNA from 1 species